UACAGAGACUGCAAGCGUUAUUCGGAUUCACUGGGCGUAAAGGGUGCGCAGGCGCCGGUGUCGUCAGAAUGUGAAAUCCCGAGGCUCAACCUCGGAACUGCGUCUGAAACUACUCGGCUAGAGUACUGGGAGAGGUAACGGAAUUCAACUGGUGUAGCAGUGAAAUGCGUAGAUAUCAUGAGGAAUACCAGAGGCGAAGGCGGCUACCUGGACAAUUGCUGACGCUCGAGGCACGAAAGCGUGGGGAGCAAAAGG
rnacentral:rRNA from 1 species